UACGAAGGGGGCUAGCGUUGUUCGGAAUUACUGGGCGUAAAGCGCACGUAGGCGGAUAUUUAAGUCAGGGGGUGAAAUCCCAGAGCUCAACUCUGGAACUGCCUUUGAUACUGGGUAUCUCGAGUAUGGAAGAGGUGAGUGGAAUUCCGAGUGUAGAGGUGAAAUUCGUAGAUAUUCGGAGGAACACCAGUGGCGAAGGCGGCUCACUUGGACCAGCACUGACACUGAGGCACGAAAGCGUGGGGAGCAAACAGG
rnacentral:rRNA from 1 species